UUGCUCAAUCGGGCCGAUUGCAAAACAGAGAUGCCAGCACUCGAAUUCUAGCGGUUAGAAUUCGAUCAGUUUUCGGCUCGAUUUCCAUCCGCCUGCUCGAUUGCUCGAAAACAGACGAUACUUUUUGCAGUGCUGCGAUGAACAAAACGAAACACGAGCAGUUUUCAAUCGCAGCAAUCCGGUGGCGUGUUUUGUUUUGGCGCGUGUUUGGUGUGAAAUUUGUCGCAGUUAUUUUCGCUUGUAUAUUUCCGCUGUUUCUGAAUUCAGAAAUGCUUUGAGCGCUUAGAAGAAGCCAUUGUCCGGCGAUAAUUUGAUGACAAACAAGAAAACAUCGACCCAUGAAAACGAAGCUUCCAAGGAAAUGUCCACACGGUACGGGCUCUGGUGGAAUGUCAUCCCGGACAUCGUAUCCGGAUCCGCUUUAAGGUGGUGGCACACAAUGCAAGUGGCCCCGUACGCUUCCAGAAAACCGUAUAAAAUUGACCAGAAAACUUGUAAAUGGCCACACACAGCACCGCAACAAUCGCACCGUGGCCUAUAACAACUUAGCGGUAAAACUCGACGAAGUACGGCAGAUGCAAGGACAAACUCCUUUUUCCGACCGAAAAAACACCGGAGCAGUACCAGCGCGUCUUGCCUUGCGUGGACUAUAGGCUUACCAUUUCUGUAAAUCAAGACGAAGCGUAUAUUUUGUCCAAGCCAGUCGGAAUACUCGGGUCUAGUGUGCCGAUUGCUCUGCUGCCAACUUAACAGCUGCCCUCAUAUUCUCUAGUCAUAGUGAACACACUUCCGACAUUGGAGAUAUAUCCUAUUGCAGCAAUUCUGCCUAUCAGCAACCAGAAGAACCCUCCGUGGAUAGUUUGAUCUGUUGAGACGAUCAAGUUUCUAAAGUGAGCCGAACUUUAGUUGUUGCAGAUGUUUAUCAGUGAUUGCUUAGAAGGUACUUUGAUCUGUGGUACUACUGCAAUUGACCUAAAUAAUUUCGAGAUUCUGCAUUGGUGGAAUGAAUUUUUGAAACGAUGUGCUAGAGAGCAAUGUAUGUACCCAAGUAGAAAUCCUGCGCUGGCCACAUGUGUUGGAAAAUUUAUUCGAUAACUUUUUUGCUAAACCCAUCUGUUUUGUGAACGAAUAUUUAACAUGAAGGUAACUUUCAAGCAUGUUCUUAAUCCACAUGCGAAAGACCGAACAAAACUUCACAUAGAUUUUCAUUGAAAAAGGUAAACAUAGACGUUCAUUCAAAUUUUUCAACAGAAUCCUGCAUUGAGCUUUAAUUGUUCUUGUUUUUAUUUUAAAUUCCAAGGGUAGCGGCUUUUAAGCUAGGUCGAUAUUUAACUUUUAAACAGUUUUGGCUGAAAGAAGAAAUCAA